AUGGGCUCAGGUUACACCUUCCCAGCUGGUGUUUCUGUCCCAGGAACCUUUCUUCAGUCUGCAGCUCACUCUCCAGCAGCAAACCAGGUGCAAGCUGGGAAACAGUCCCACAUUCCUUACAGCCAGCAACGGCCCUCUGGACCAGGGCCAAUGAACCAGGGACCUCAACAAUCACUGCCACCUUCCCAGCAACCCCUUACACCUUUACCAGCUCAGCCAACAGCACAGUCUUCAAGCCAGUUGCAGGUUCAAGCUCUAGCUCAGCAGCAACAAUCCCCUACAAAAGCUGUGCCAGCUUUGGGGAAAAGCCCACCUCACCACUCUGGAUCCCAGCAGUAUCAACAGGCAGAUGCCUCCAAACAGCUGUGGAAUCCCCCUCAGGUUCAAGGCCCACUAGCGAAAAUCAUGCCUAUGAAACAGCCCUACUACCUUCAGACUCAAGACCCCAUAAAACUGUUUGAGCCGUCAUUGCAACCUCCUGUAAUGCAGCAGCAGCCUCUAGAGAAAAAAAUGAAGCCUUUUCCCAUGGAACCAUAUAACCAUAAUCCCUCAGAAUUCAAGGUCCCAGAAUUCUACUGGGAUUCUUCCUACACCAUAGCUGAUAACAGAGCUGUAAUGGCACAGCAAGCAAACAUGGACCACAGGGGCAAAUGGUCAACAGGAGUCUUCCGUCCAGAGCAGGAUCCUGUCCCCAGGAUGCCAUUCGAGAAAUCCUUGUUGGAGAAGCCUUCAGAGCUCAUGUCACAUUCAUCCUCUUUCCUGUCCCUCACCGGGUUCUCUCUUAAUCAGGAAAGAUACCCAAAUAACGGCAUGUUCAAUGAGGUAUAUGGAAAGAACCUGAUAGCCAGUUCCAAAGCAGAGCUUAAUCCCUCGAUGCCCUCCCAGGAAACAUCACUGUAUUCAUUCCCUUUUUGAAGGGACUCCAUGGUCCCCAUCACUUCCUGCCAGUUCAGAUCAUUCAACACCAGCCAGCCAGUCUCCUCUUUCCUCCAACCCAAGCAGCCUGCCCAGCUCUCCUCCAACACACAACCAUAAUUCUGUUCCAUUCUCCAAUUUUGGACCCAUUGGGACUCCAGAUAACAGGGAUAGAAGAAAUGCACAUCAGUGGAAAACUGAUAAACCAGCCAUGGGUGGGUUUGGUGUUGAUUAUCUCUCAGCAACAUCAUCCUCUGAGAGCAGUUGGCAUCAGGCCAGCACUCCAAUUGGCACCUGGACAGGCCAUGGCCCUUCCAUGGAGGAUUCCUCUGCUGUCCUCAUGGAAAGCCUAAAGUCUAUCUGGUCCAGUUCCAUGAUGCAUUCUGGACCCUCCACUCUGGAGCAGUUGUUAAUGCAGCAGAAGCAGAAACAGCAGCGGGGACAAAGCACCAUGAACCCUCCACACUGAGGCCAAAGUGACAACCCUGGGAAUGAAGGUUCCAUAAACCAUGGCAUGUUAGGUUUGCAGGAUUGGCCUACACAGUCCCAUGCAGGUGGCAGCCCUCUUGUCUGUUCCUUGCUAUCAAGAGGAUGUAAGUGUUCCACCAGCCUGCUGAGUGUGCGCAAUAUGUCUGCAGUGCAACGAAAAGAAAAACCCAUCAGGAGCUCUCGGUCCCUCCAGGUCCUUCUGGAGGGAGAGAGGAACUGCUGUUUGUCUCACUCAGUUACCUGAUAUCACCACCUCUCACCUUCUCCAUCGUGCAUGUCCCCAGACACAUGGGAAGUGAAAGCUGAGAAGGGAAGGCAGGUAGGAGAAGCCAAUGGGAACUUCUCAGUCCUUUUUUCCCUCUUUGGGGAAUAAAGUAGGAAUCCAUUAAUGAUUGCUUUGCUGACUGAGAAUGUAGUUGAAAUUAUUCCUAAACAUCUUUUAUUAUUGUUAUUACUCUCAGUAGUAAAGUAUCACACUGAAUUCUUCCAUACAAGGUGUUCUUCUAGUCAGUGUGUAGCAAAGACAGCCCCAUUCACUGCUCCUGUGAGAGGUUGGUGGUGACAGGAUAGGGAACCGACCUCCUCAGCCAGUGGAAGUGUUCUGUUGGGAGAAUACAGGGCCUCACAGAAGAUUCUGGCAGGCCCUUCUCUGGCCUGGAGAUUCCAGCAGUAAAUGCCCUUCACUCUGUAGGUGCUCGAGCCCUCGAGGAUGCAGUGUGGGUAUUGGUGCUGGGCUAGACUAGCAGCUGACUGCUGUAGGGUUUCAAAUUAAUGUUUUUGAUUUCUGUACUUUUUGCAGUAGCAUAGCAAGCAGUCUCACAGAAGGCAGGCUAGUUCAUUCAUGGCCUGACACAUUUUAUUAGGUAGAAGCUUUCAGUGUGGUUUUUUUUUGUUUGGUUGGUUUUGUGCCCUUAUCCUACUUACCAGCCUCCUGCACCUGUGUCCAUCCCUUCUGCUAGUAAUUGUUUUUAUUCCUGAUGUGUACAACAUUUCGCCAAGAAGCAACAGCAUGGGGUCCAGCAGUUGGGGCCCAAAGGACAGUCUGAAGAGGAGGGAAGCAGUACCACCUGCAUAGCCAGAGAGGCCAGGCCCCUGCCCAGCCGCAGUCUCCCAGCCUCCACUUCAACAGUGAGAUUCAAGGCACCAUGGACACAUGUACGUCGUGAAGAGAAGAAAACAUAACGAAGGCCAUUUUGGAAAAGGCGAGAGAAAAGAAAAUAAACUUUUUAUUUGAUAUUUAUUAGGAGGAAAGAGGACUGAAGAUGUUCUUGUGUAGAAACGGACAACAUUUCUGUUAGUCACUUCCUGGAAAAGUAAUAUUUUAAGGGAAAAUUAUGGAAAUAAUCUAAAUGUCCAAUUGCUGUGCUAGUGGUAGGGAUUUUCUGGGAGGUGUGUGUGUGUGUGUGUGUGUGUGCGUGUGUGUACCCACACAUGCCCAUCUGCUCCACCAAAGGGAAGGGGUUGUGUGUAUG
rnacentral:lncRNA from 1 species